rnacentral:tRNA from 1 species
GGCGCUGCGCCGGGUGAACGGACUGCAUUGAUGAUGUGGAUUACGGAACUAAAGGGUUCCCAGUGCUG